CCUACGGGAGGCAGCAGUGGGGACUAUUGCACAAUGGGGGAAACCCUGAUGCAGCGACGCAGCGUGAAUGAAGAAGUAAUUCGUUAUGGAAAGCUCUAUCAGCAGGGAAGAAAAUUACGGUACCUGAGUAAGAAGCCACGGCUAACUACGUGCCAGCAGCCGCGGUAAUACGUAGGGGGCAAGCGUUAUCCGGAUUUACUGGGUGUAAAGGGGGCGUAGACGGCAUUGAAAGUUUGGAGUGAAAGGCGGGGGCUCAACCCCCGGACUGCUCUGGAAACUGUAAGGCUGGAGUGCAGGAGAGGUAAGUGGAAUUCCUAGUGUAGCGGUGAAAUGCGUAGAUAUUAGGAGGAACACCAGUGGCGAAGGCGGCUUACUGGACUGUAACUGACGUUGAGGCUCGAAAGCGUGGGGAGCAAACAGGAUUAGAUACCCUAGUAGUC
rnacentral:rRNA from 1 species